CUAAGUUUGAUGGCGACCGGCGCACGGGUGAGUAACACGUAUCCAACCUGCCGAUGACUCGGGGAUAGCCUUUCGAAAGAAAGAUUAAUACCCGAUGGCAUAGUUCUUCCGCAUGGUAGAACUAUUAAAGAAUUUCGGUCAUCGAUGGGGAUGCGUUCCAUUAGGUUGUUGGCGGGGUAACGGCCCACCAAGCCUUCGAUGGAUAGGGGUUCUGAGAGGAAGGUCCCCCACAUUGGAACUGAGACACGGUCCAAACUCCUACGGGAGGGCCAGCAUG
rnacentral:rRNA from 1 species